rnacentral:rRNA from 1 species
CCUACGGGAGGCAGCAGUGAGGAAUAUUGGUCAAUGGGCGGGAGCCUGAACCAGCCAAGCCGCGUGAGGGAGGAAGGUACAGCGUAUCGUAAACCUCUUUUGUCAGGGAACAAAGGCGGGGACUAGUCCCCGGAUGAGGGUACCUGAAGAAAAAGCAUCGGCUAACUCCGUGCCAGCAGCCGCGGUAAUAAGGAGGAUGCGAGCGUUAUCCGGAUUGAUUGGGUUAAAGGGGUGCGCAGGCGGCCUGUUAAGUCAGCGGUAAAAGCCCGGGGCUCAACCCCGGCGAGCCGUUGAAACUGGCGGGCUGGAGUUGGAGAGAAGUACGCGGAAUGCGCGGUGUAGCGGUGAAAUGCUUAGAUAUCGCGCAGAACCCCGAUUGCGAAGGCAGCGUACCGGCUCCACACUGACGCUGAGGCACGAAAGCGUGGGUAUCGAACAGGAUUAGAUACCCUGGUAGUC